CAGUGGUGCUCACUGCCUUUCUGGACUUGGAUGCAGGCAGACACACCUUUGGGUCUCUCCUGCCAGUCAAGAAGACUGAUCAGAGUGAGUGUCAACACUCCCAUCCACAGACAGUUGUGUGGGGAAACAGACCACCUGAGUCCGAUUUGUAAAAGCUCAUUGGGAUUUUACUUCACCCUGGCCUUAACUGGAAUGGCCCAGAUAAGCACUAUCUCCACCUACCCAUCCCUCCAAUGGACCCAAAUUUAUUUCUGUUCUCUAUUGCAGAGUGUCCAAGAGAGAUGUCUAUGUGCCCACCUUCUGGGUGUCAUAGAAGAGGAAGUUUCCAUGGUUCCUCCUACAAGCUAUCAGGCUCCUCAUUUAUUAAUAUUAAAUGCAUCACAAACAAUAUAGGAUCCAGAUGAACCGCAGAUGGG